rnacentral:rRNA from 1 species
AGCAGCCGCGGUAAUUCCAGCUCCAAUAGCGUAUAUUAAAGUUGUUGCAGUUAAAAAGCUCGUAGUUGAAUUUCGGAAUCUGUCCGUCGGUCGGGCUUCACAGUCCGUACUGGUGUGGUGGGUUCUUACCUUCUGAAUAACCAGCAUGCCAUUCACUUGGUGCGUUGGGGAAGCAGGACUAUUACCUUGAAAAAUUAGAGUGCUCAAAGCAGGCUAGUGCCUGAAUACAUUAGCAUGGAAUAAUAAAAUAGGACGGCAUGGUUCUAUUUUGUUGGUUUCUAGGAUCACCGUAAUGAUUAAUAGGGAUAGUUGGGGGCAUUAGUAUUCAAUUGUCAGAGGUGAAAUUCUUGGGUUUAUUGAAGACUAACUUCUGCGAAAGCAUUUGCCAAGGAUGUUUUCAUUAAUCAAGAACGAAAGUUAGGGGAUCGAAGACGAUCAGAUACCGUCGUAGUCUUAACCAUAAACUAUGCCGACUAGGGAUCGGACGAUGUUAAUUUUUAAUGACUCGUUC